GAUGAACGCUGGCGGCGUGCCUAAUACAUGCAAGUAGAACGCUGAAGGAAGGAGCUUGCUCUUUCCGGAUGAGUUGCGCACGGGUGAGUAACGCGUAGGUAACCUGCCUGGUAGCGGGGGAUAACUAUUGGAAACGAUAGCUAAUACCGCAUAACAGUCGAUUUUGCAUGAUAUCUACUUAAAAGGUGCAAUUGCACCACUACCAGAUGGCCCUUCGUUGUAUUAGCUAGUUGGUGAGGUAACGGCUCACCAAGGCGACGAUACAUAGCCGACCUGAGAGGGUGAGCGGCCACACUGGGACGGAGACACGGCACAGACGGCUACGGGAGGCAGCAGGAGGGAAACGUCGGGAAUGGACGGAAGACAGACCGAGAAACGCCGCGGGAGGGAAGAAGGGUUUCGGAUCGUAAAGCUCUGUUGUAAGAGAAGAACGAGUGUGAGAGUGGAAAGUUCACACUGUGACGGUAUCUGACCAGAAAGGGACGGCUAACUACGUG
rnacentral:rRNA from 1 species